rnacentral:snRNA from 1 species
GUCUCUUCGAAGAUAUCACAUAAAAUUGUAACGGUACAGAGAAGAUUAGUUUAGCUCCUGUGCAUGGAUAACACAUAAAUCAGACAUGGUGGAAAUCUUUUU